rnacentral:rRNA from 1 species
GAUGAACGCUGGCGGCGUGCCUAAUACAUGCAAGUCGAGCGAACAGACGAGGAGCUUGCUCCUCUGACGUUAGCGGCGGACGGGUGAGUAACACGUGGAUAACCUACCUAUAAGACUGGGAUAACUUCGGGAAACCGGAGCUAAUACCGGAUAAUAUAUUGAACCGCAUGGUUCAAUAGUGAAAGACGGUUUUGCUGUCACUUAUAGAUGGAUCCGCACCGCAUUAGCUAGUUGGUAAGGUAACGGCUUACCAAGGCAACGAUGCGUAGCCGACCUGAGAGGUGAUCGGCCACACUGGAACUGAGACACGGUCCAGACUCCUACGGGAGGCAGCAGUAGGGAAUCUUCCGCAAUGGGCGAAAGCCUGACGGAGCAACGCCGCGUGAGUGAUGAAGGUCUUCGGAUCGUAAAACUCUGUUAUUAGGGAAGAACAAAUGUGUAAGUAACUAUGCACGUCUUGACGGUACCUAAUCAGAAAGCCACGGCUAACUACGUG